AUUUCCGUAAGCUUCUGUGAGAUAUUCCGCAGGCUCAAUGCAACUUUGAUUAUUUGGAGUGGUUGCAACUUACCUGGGGGUUGAGGCAAUAAGAAAAGAAGGGUGGCUCGUGCCAAAACAUUUCAACCACCAACUCAAGAAAAAAGACCAAAAGAUUUCAGCAGUUGAUUUCUUCCUCCUUGAGAGCAGUUUAAACAGGCCCACAACCAAGAAGCUCUCCACAAAGCACAGCCAACGCCACACUUUCCAUCUGCGUUAAGAAAUCAUUCUUCUGAUCUCCCACAGAAGAGCAAAAUCAAGUAUCAUGACAGAAGUAAGUGAGAAGCUGGAAGAAGAACAAGUACCCUAAACCUAGAGCAUCCCCUGUCCAGGGAAAAGACUUCAUGAAGAUUUCUGGAAACACUCAUUUGAGCAAAGAUUAUUUGAGCUACUAAAAUCAUGCAGGAAGUAACUAGGGUGAUGAACCGUUUGAUGGCCUCAUCCUCGGACCUUCAUGAUGGUCAAACGUCGGUUUUGGACUAGCAAAACCAACUUCAUGAUAGUCUUUAAAACACCACCUUAGCUUCUAUAUAUAGUGGGCUAGAAACUAAGGAAAGCAUUCAAUUUUUCAUUUAGCAUUGUAAACAUACAAGUGAAAAUAUUAUUAUGUAACUUAUUUGUCAUUGAAAUAAUGGUAUAUCAAUUUAUCA